GACGAACGCUGGCGGUGUGCUUCACACAUGCAAGUCGAACGAGGUAGCAAUACCUAGUGGCGGACGGGUGAGUAACGCGUGGGAAUCUGCCUUUAGAUGGGGGAUAACGGGUCGAAAGACUCGCUAAUACCGCAUAUGACGAAAGUUGAAAGGAGUAAUCCGUCUAAAGAUGAGCCCGCGUCCGAUUAGCUAGUUGGUAGAGUAAAAGCCUACCAAGGCGACGAUCGGUAGCUGGUCUGAGAGGAUGAUCAGCCACAAUGGGACUGAGACACGGCCCAUACUCCUACGGGAGGCAGCAGUCGAGAAUAGUCUACAAUGGUCGGAAGACUGAUAGUGCGACGCCGCGUGAACGAUGAAUCCCUUCGGGUGUAAAGUUCUUUAUAUGUGAGCAGUGCUUCUUAUAUUAACAGUAUGGGGAGAGAGGUAUUAGCAUAUGAAUAAGCAACGGCUAACUCCGUGCCAGCAGCCGCGGUAAACUCGUCUCUAC
rnacentral:rRNA from 1 species